rnacentral:lncRNA from 1 species
CUCCCAUAGCAUCAUUUUCAGAGACUGGUUCUAUUUCUUCAACCUUAAACUUCACACUUCAAAAGCAGCAUGUUAUAUAAAAUGUUUUAUAAAACGUCUCUGCUUGGCUUUAUUUUUUUGUUUCUAUUUCUUGAUGUUUCUUAUAGAUUCUUUUAAUGACCCAAUUCUCCGGUUCAUCAUUGUAUGCUCUCCAUUAUGUAUUAUUUAAUUUGCUAACAAAGUCAAAAUUUUUAGAGACUGGCUUCAUAUUACUGUGGAACACCAACUAGCAUCAAAAGCCUUCUACAAAGUAGAUCCAGCCUUUUUUAUUGUCCUAGUUUGUAUCUCUUUGUAUAGAAAUUUUAUUGUAUUGGCAUUAUAUUGCCAGGCUGCAAAACCUGUAUCCGUUUUCCCCUCACCUUAUCCACUAGCUUCCACAUUCGUGUCUUUGUUGCUUUGAAUCCCAUUCUCUGCCUUAUCUUUUUAUCUCUAAUUGAAACCUGUAAAGAAUUUCAAAUUCUACAUUUUUUCAUAUAAGCUAACCUUAUCCUCAACAAGGGUUCUGGGAACCACCAUUACUUGAUCUGUGUUUUUCAGAACAUGUUUGCUAUGUUCUGUCUCGUGUAAGGUGGUCUGAGUUACCCUAUAGAUAGAUAGAUAAUCAGCUCUUUAAAGGCUGGCCUUGUCCCCUCCUUCUCAUGGUACUGUGGGGUUUUGCACACAAUAGAGUCUUGAUUUAUAUUUGUUUAAUUGAAUUACACCUACUUGGUUGUUGGUAAAAUUCAGUUUUAUUACAAAGAUUGAUUUAAUUCCUUCAGCAAAUAGUCUCAAAAAUUCUCUUGGGUUUUUAUAUUUGUUUGUCACAGUAAGCUUUGCAGUUAUUACUACUCUGGCUUAAAGAACAUAUUUAUAAAUAUUCUUUUGGGGACUACUUUUAAUAACUUGUAAAUAGGAUUGACAAGUUACACUUUCUGAGUCACUUUAUGCUUUUGGCAACAAAACCUCAAAAACAUAGUUAAUUUUGAAGAAGAUCCUUCUGGAUUUGUGUGCUACCAAUAGUAUCUAUCCGUUUGUUUAGAGAGAUUAAAUUUUAUUGCUCCAACUUUAUAUGAAAAUAAGAGUGUUGACAAUGUCAAAAGGAAGUGAUCUUUGGAGACUUACUUUAAUAAACAGAUACAGGAAAUCCAUAAGAAGCAUUCCCAAUGUAAAUUGCUAUUUCUAUAGUAUUUAAGGGUGAAAUACAAAUAGUUUAUGUUCUGAAAUAAUUUAUGUGGUAGUUUCUACUUUUCAUAGCUUUACAUAUAAUUAGAGCUUAACAAAUGUUUGUUGUUUUAUCUAUGUUGCUUCAUUUUAUCUUUAGAAUAGCUUAUUGGGUAGGCAGUGUGUUUAAUUUCUGUUUUACAAAGAAACCAUUUGUGAAAAGGUAAAAUGAUUAGCCAAAAUUCACAGAACAUUGAAACUGGGAAUAUCUACUUAAGUUCCUUGCUGUUGAAGGUGUGGUCCACAGACCAGAAGCUUUGGCAUCGCCUUGUUGGAAAUGUAGGGCCUCACUCCAGAUCUAUUGAUUCAUUAUUUUCAUUUUCACAGCAUGUUCACAUGAUUCCUUUGCACAUUAACAUUUGAGAAGUACUGGUUACAUAUCUUUUCACAUGUUUUAUGUUUUAAAAUGUAGAUUUUAUUAUUAUUCUGCUAUGGUGAGGCCAAGAAAUCAGGAGACAGUUGCCAUUGAAACGACAGUUUGUUACUCACAUUGAAAAGAUUGUUCUUUGUUCCCAGGAGGAGAGGGCAUGCCAGACCAUGCAGGGGCCCACUUUGGGAGGGACCAACGUCACUCAGAAGGCACAGGGAAUGCGGGAAAAUGUGAACAAGAACCUUUAUUAUGACUUUCCUGAGAAAGACAAGGCAAGGCAGGAUAAGCAAGAUUAGGACUGGCUAAUUUGAAUAAUUUCAGUGGGCUCCAAGGUAUAGAGGCUGUCUUUAGUUGUCUCAUAGUUGGCCCUCAGGUAAUUAGGACAGGAGAAUAAUGGCCUGGAGUGUAAGAGCCCAGUAAAGGAUGUGGUAGGAUAUGGGCUCUGGAUUGGUUAGUUUGCAAAUGAAAGACAUGUUCCAAGAUGAGUCCUUUACUAUCUCUGGGAAUUGGCUGGAGCUGGGAGGGGCAGUCUCUCGAGGGUCAGCAAGGCCCCAAGGUGUAAAAAUAAAAAGACAAGAUUAACACAUUAUCACAUAGAGUGAAACUCUAUCAUGAUAGCCAGAGUCCAGAAAAAUUUAUAUAAAAUAUGGAGAUGCAGUUAUUGCAAGGUUAAUGAAAGGAUUGAGAGAGCCAGUCCAGCUAGCCUCUGGCUGGGCAGAUGAAAUCCAUUCAGGUCCUCCAGGUAAUGCUGCCUGGGGGCCCUAGGUAAUGCCCCUAGGUAGCAUUACCUGGAGGCAGCUCUCCACUCUGGUUUAUUCUUUAUCCAUGGAUAUUGUUUUGAUUCCUCUGACUGGCAGGGACUUCCAGGAGCACAGCAGUAAUUCCAGAAAUAAGCUCAUGAGUUGACAUCUGUUUCAUUGGCCCUAUAAUGAAAUUUGGUCACAGAGAAUCCUGAAGGCAGAGGACCUGCCCUUAUCUCCCUGUUUCCUGCUUCCUCCCAUCUCCUCUCAAGCCUACCAGUCCUCCUCACCAGAGGAUAAGAACUAAGGAGCUUUGGGGUUACCCCCAUUUGAGGAUCUGGGUGAAGAAUACAAUGCAAUUGCUAGUUGGGUUAUAUGAGAAUUAGUGAGGUUAGGGGAAACUGUACAGCCACAUGGUACUAGCUUAAGAAAAAUAACAAUUCCAUCAGUUUAUUGAGAAACUACUGUUAUGCUCAGUACUGCACAGAUGUUAGCACAUGCAAAUAUGAAAGUUGAAGGUCAGAGAGGUUUAGUAAUUUGACCAAAGUUGUUAUAUGUUGGAGAGUUAGUGUUAAAUACCAUGUCUGUCUGACUUAAAAACCUAUGCAUUCUCCUAUAGGCACAUCUUUAGUGUCGUAAAGUGGAUAAAAGUGCUUAAACAGUUUAUGUAUUCUGAGAACUUUUCCUUCCUUAUUAAAGAAAGUGCUGAUCUCUCUGUUCAUGGGUUCAUUGUGAUAGCAUCAAUAAGAGAUAGAAUAAUUUCCUGAUUCAUCUGAAAUGGCUAGGGUUCAAUUUUUUUUAGGUCAGGUUACUUUACUUUUGUCAUACUCAAACCUAAAUUAUUUAUCAAAUCUGGAAUGUUCCCAGGACUGUCUUUGCUUGGCUCACCUAGGUUGAUAAAUCUAUGAUAUCAUUUAGAAAUAACAUUUGACUUAGGAUAAAAGGAAUUUCUGUGGAGAUGUAUAAUAUAGAAGAGAGGAGUUUGUGUAGAAUUGUAAAAGGUACUUUAAAUGUUUUUUACUUCUAUUGAAAUAUAAUUUACAUACAGUAAAAUUCAUAAAUUUUAAGUGUUUAAUUCAAUAAUUUUGGCAAAUAUGUACUGCAGGUAUAUUGGUCAGGUAUAUCAUUUUAAGCUAAAAUUUACCUUCUAGUAUAAAACAGAAUCAUGCAUUUUCAGUGUAGGUGAUAUGUUAAUCAAGAUUUUUAUAUUAUUUACAACUUACGCAUUUCCCUUUUAGCAUAUUACUGUUAUUCAUAAAGUUUAAGAACUCUGUGCCAUGCCAAUUUAAAUUUCUCAUAAAAGGGUCAUUAGUGUGGCAGAUAAAAUGCACUGCUAUGGAAAAAAGAGUAAUAGAUUACAACUGCAUUAUAAUAAUUGUUCAGAAAAUGAUAGAAUGUCAUUAAAUGCAAAAUUAUGAGUAUUUUAGUAAUACAACAUGUAAAUGUACCACGUUAGCCUAAGAUGUUCUCAAACUUUGACUUCCAUCAGAAUCACCCAGAAGCCUUGUCAAAACAGAUUGGUGGGUCUUGUCACCUAAGUUUUUCUAGGUGAGGUUGAUGUUGCUGCUCUUGGGACCACACCUUGAGAGCUAAUCCCUUAGAGAUGUGCUUCUUUUUGAGCCAUUUAGCAAUGUGUCAAAAAUGUGUGUUUUUUUUUUUUUUUAAGAUUAUGAUAGAUUACAACCUUGUGAGAGUUCAGUUGUACAUUAUUGUUAGUCAUGUUGUGGGUACACCACUUCACCCUUUGUACCCUCCCCCCACCCCCACUUUUUCCCUGGUAACCACCGAUCAGUUCUCCUUGUCUAUAUGUUAACUUCCACCUAUGAGUGGAGUCAUACAGAGUUCGUCUUUCUCUGUCUGGCUUAUUUCGCUUAACAUAAUACCCUCAAGGUCCGUCCAUGUUAAUGCGAAUGGGAAGAUUUUGUCCUUUUUUAUGGCUGAGUAGUAUUCCAUUGUGUAUAUACACCAUAUCUUCUUUAUUCAAUUAUCAGUUGCUGGGCACUUAGGUUGGUUCCACGUCUUGGCUAUUGUGAAUAAUGCUGCCAUGAACAUAGGGGUGCGUGGGACUCUUGGAAUUGCUGAUUUCAGGUUCUUAGGAUAGAUAACCAGUAGUGGGAUGGCUGGAUCAUAAGGUACUUCUAUUUUUAACUUUUUGAGAAAUCUCCAUACUGUUUUCCAUAGUGGCUGCACUAGUUUGCAUUCCCACCAACAGUGUAUGAGGGUUCCUUGUUCUCCACAGCCUCUCCAACAUUUGUCACUCUUGGAUUUGGAUAUUUUUGCCAAUCUAACGGGUGUAAGGUGAUAUCUUAGUGUAGUUUUGAUUCGCAUUUCCCUAAUGAUUAGUCAUGAUGAGCAUCUUUUCAUGUGUCUAUUGGCCAUCCUUAUAUCUUCUUUGGAGCAAUGUCUGCUCAUGUCCUCUGCCCAUUUUUUGAUCGGGUUGUUUGUUUUUUUGUUGUUGAGCUGUGUGAGUUCUUUAUAUAUUAUGGAGAUUAACCCUUUGUCGUAUAAGUAGCUUGUAAAUAUUUUUUCCCAGUUAGUGGGCUGUUUCUUUUGUUUCUGUCCUGUUUUCCCUUGCCUUGAAGAAGCUCUUUAGUCUGAUGAAGUCCCAUUUGUUUAUUCUUUCUAUUGUUUCCCUCAUCUGAGGAGUUAGGGUGUCUGAAAAGAUUCUUUUGAAACUGAUGUCAAAGAGUGUACUGCCUAUAUUCUCUUCUAGAAGACUUAUUGUUUCAAGCCUAAUCUUUAGGUCUUUGAUCCAUUUUGAGUUUAUUUUUGUGAAUGGUGAAAACGAAUGGUCAAUUUUCAAUCUUUUACAUGUGGCUGUCCAGUUUUCCCAGCACCAUUUGUUAAAGAGACUUUCUUUUCUCCAUUAUAGGUCCUCAGCUCCUUUGUCAAAGAUUAGCUGUACAUAGAUGUGUGGUUUUAUUUCUGGGCUUUCAAUUCUGUUCCAUUGAUCUGUGCGCCUGUUUUUGUACCAGUACCAUGCUGUUUUGAUCACCGUAGCUCUGUAGUAUGUUUUGAAAUCAGGGAUUGUGACGCCUCCAGCUUUGUUCUUCUUUCUCGGGAUUGCUUUAGCAAUUCGGGGUCUUUUCUUGCCCCUUAUGAAUUUUAGGAUUCUUUGUUCAAUUUCUGUAAAGAAUGUCAUUGGGAUUCUGAUUGGGAUAGCGUUGAAUCUGUAGAUUGCUUUAGGUAGUAUGGACAUUUUAACUAUGUUUAUUCUUCCAAUCCAUGGGCAUGGAAUGUCUUUCCAUCUCUUUAUGUCGUCAUCAAUUUCUUUCAAUAAAGUCUCGUAGUUUUCAUUGUAUAGAUCUUUCACUUCCUUGGUUAAAUUUAUCCCAAGGUAUUUUAUUCUUUUCGUUGCAAUUGUGAAUGGGAUUGAGUUCUUGAGUUCUUUUUCUGUUAGUUUAUUGUUAGUGUAUAGAAAUGCUACUGAUUUAUGUAUGUUGAUUUUAUACCCCGCAACUUUGCUGUAGCUGUUGAUUGUUUCUAAUAGUUUUCCUAUGGAUUCUUUGGGGUUUUCUAUAUAUAAGAUCAUGUCGUCUGCAAACAGCUAGAGUUUUACUUCUUCAUUGCCUAUUUGGAUUCCUUUUGUUUCUUUUUCCUGCCGAAUUGCUCUGGCCAACACCUCCAGUACUAUGUUGAAUAGGAGUGGGGAAAGGGGCACCCUUGUCUGGUUCCUGUUCUCAGAGGGAUGGCUUUCAGUUUUUGUCCGUUGAGUAUGAUGUUAGCUGUGGGUUUGUCAUAUAUGGCCUUUAUUAUGUUGAGGUACUCUCCUUCUAUACACAUUUUAUUGAGGGUUUUUAUCAUAAAUGGAUGUUGGAUCUUGUCGAAUGCUUUCUCUGCAUCUAUUGAGAUGAUCAUGUGGUUUUUGUUUCUCAUUUUGUUAAUGUAGUGUAUCACGUUGAUUGACUUGUCGAUGUUGAACCAUCCCUGUGUCCCUGGUAUAAAUCCCACUUGAUCAUGGUGUAUAAUCUUUUUGAUGUAUUGCUGUAUUUGGUUUGCCAGAAUUUUGUUGAGGAUUUUUGCAUCUAUGUUCAUCAGUGAUAUUGGCCUGUAGUUUUCCUUCUUUGUGCUGUCCUUGUCAGAUUUGGGGAUCAGAGUGAUGUUGGCUUCAUAGAAUGUGUUAGGGAGUCCUCCAUCUUCCUCAAUUUUCUGGAAUAGUUUGAGAAGGAUAGGUAUUAAAUCUUCUUUGAAUGUUUGGUAGAAUUCUCCAGAGAAGGCGUCUGGUCCUGGACUCUUAUUUUUGGGGAGGUUUUUGUUUCUAUUUCUUUACUUGUGAUUGGUCUAUUCAGAUUCUCUAUUUCUUCCUGAUUCAGUUUGGGGAGGUUGUAAGAGUCUAGGAAUUUGUCCGUUUCUUCUAGGUUGUUCAAUUUGUUGGCAUAUAGUUUUUCAUAGUAUUCUCUUAUGAUCCCUUGUAUUUCUUUGGUAUCUGUUGUGAUUUCUCCUCUCUCAUUCCUAAUUUUAUUUAUUUGAGAUUUCUCACUUCUUUUCUUAGUGAGUCUGGCUAAGGGUUUGUCGAUUUUGUUAAUUUUUUCCAAGAACCAACUCUUUGUUUCACUGAUCCUUUCUACUGUCUUUUUUGUUUCAAUAUCGUUUAUUUCUGCUCUAAUUUUUAUUAUUUCCCUCCUUCUCUGACUUUGGGCUUUGUUUGUUCUUCCUUUUCUAAUUCUGUUAGGUGUUGUUUGAGGUUGCUUAUGUGAGAUUUUUCUUGUGUAGUGAGGUGAGCCUGUAUUGCAAUGAAUUUCCCUCUUAGGACUGCUUUUGCUGCAUCCCAGAUGAGUUGGUAUGGCAUGUUUUCAUUUUCAUUUGUCUCCAGAUAAUAUUUGAUUUCUUCUUUAAUUUCUUCAAUAAUCCAUUGUUUGUUCAGUAGCGUGUUGUUUAGUCUCCACAUUUUUGCACCUUUCCCUGCUUUAUUGUUGUAGUUGAUUUCUAGUUUCAUACCAUUAUGAUCAGAAAAGAUGCUUGAUGUUAUUUCAACUCUCUUGUAUUUAUUGAUGCUUGCUUUGUUUCCCAAGAUAUGGUCUAUCCUUGAGAAUGUUCCGUGCGUACUUGAGAAGAAUGUGUAACCUGCUGUUUUUGGGUGAAGUGUUCUAUAUAUAUCUAUUAAGUCCAUCUGGUCUAAUUUUUCAUUUAAUUCUAUAAUUUCCUUGUUGAUUUUCUGUCUGGAUGAUCUAUCCAUUGGUGUUAAUGGGCUGUUGAGGUCCCCUACUAUUAUUGUAUUGUUGUUGAUGUCUCCUUUUAGUUCUGUUAAGAGUUGCUUUACAAAUUUUGGUGCUCCUGUGUUGGGUGCAUAUAUAUUUAUAAGUGUUGUGUCAUGUUGGUGGAAUGUCCCUUUUAUCAUUAUAUACUGUCCCUCUUUGUCUUUCUUUAUCUGGUUUGCUUUGAAGUCUACUUUGUCUGAUAUUAGUAUAGUGACACCUGCUUUCUUUUGUUCAUUGUUAGCUUGGAGUAUUGUUCUCCAUCCCUUCACUCUGAGUCUGUGUUUGUCUUUGGGGCUGAGGUGUGUUUCCUGGAGGCAGCAUAUUGUUGGGUCUUGUUCUUUGAUCCAUCCUGCCACUCUGUGUCUUUUGAUUGGAGAAUUCAAUCCAUUUACAUUCAGAGUGAUUAUUGAAAUGUGGGGGCCUACCGCAGCCAUUUUAUCUCUUGUUUUCCGGUUCUCUUGCAUUUCCUUUGUUUCUCGUCCCAUGGUUUUUGAAUUACUAAUUCAGGUAUGUAAAUUUCUGUACUGGCUGUCUUCUUAUUUGUAAUUUGUGUCUUUAUUCUUGUUAUUUGCUUAGUGGUUACCAUAUGGUUAGUAUAAAACAUCUCAUAGAUGAGAUAGUCCAUUUUCUGAUAGCCUCUUAUUUCCUUAAAUUAAAACCUUCUGUCCCUUUUCUCUUCCCCUUCUAGGUUGUUAUUGUCAGAUUUCUUUUCCCCCCUUCUUUCUUGUGUUGUGAGUUUGUGGUUAAAAUGACAGGGUUUAUUUAUUCUUGGUGUUGCCCUUCCUUUUAUCUUUAAUAUUUUAUUUAACUUUUGCUAACCUGUUCUGAUGGAGAUCUGCUACUUUCUAUUGUUGUCCUUCUACUUAUCUCCUUUGCUGUUGGUUUUGUAGCCCCUUGCCUUUUUUUGAUUUUUCAGGUAUGAGGGUUUUCCUGAGCAUUUCUUGAAGACUAGGUUUUGUGGCAAUGAACUCCCUUAAUUUUUGUUUAUCUGGGAAAGUUUUUAUUUCUCCAUCGUAUUUGAAGGAUAUUUUUGCUGGGUAGAGUAUUCUUGCUUGCAGGUUUUUGUCCUUCAGAGUUUUGAAUAUAUCAUUCCACUCUCUUCUAGCCUGUAAAGUUUCUGCAGAGAAAUCUGCUGAUAGCCUUGUGGGGGUUCCUUUGUAGGUUAUUUUCUUCUGCCUGGCUGCCCUUAGUAUUUUCUCCUCGUUGUUGACUUUUGCUAGCUUCACUACUAUAUGCCUUGGGGUUGGUCUUCUUGCAUUGAUAAAGUUUGGAGAUCUAUUGGCUUCUGUCACAUGAAGUUCUAUCUCUCUCCCCAGGUUGGGGAAAUUCUCAGCCAUUAUUUCUUUGAAUAGGCUUUCUGCCCCCUUCUCCUUCUCUUCUCUCUCUGGUAUACCUAUAAUCCUUACAUUGCAUCUCCUAAUUUAGUUAGAUAAUUCUCGGAGAGUUUCUUCAUUUCUUUUUAGUCUUAGUUCUCUCUCCUCCUCUGCCUGAAGCAUUUCUAUAUUCCUAUCUUCCAAAUUGCUAAUUCUGUCCUCCGUAUUAUCGGCCCUACUGUUCAGUGCAUCUAGAUUUUUCUUAAUCUCCUCUCUUGUGUUCUUCAUUUCCAGUAUCUCUGUUCGGUUCUUCUUUAUAGUAUCAAACUCUUUUGUGACAUAGCUCCUGUACUCGUUGAGUUGUCUAUCUGAAUUCUCUUUUAACUCAUUGAGUUUUUUAAUGAUGGCUGUUUUGAAGUCAUCGUCAUUUAGGUUAUAUAUUUCAGUGUCUUUUGGGUUGUUUUCUGUGUAUUUGUCAUUUUCCUUCUGUUCUGGAGAUUUCAUAUAUAUUUGCAUAUUGCUUGAUGGUGUAGAUUUGUGCCUCCACAUAGAGAUAGAUUUUAGUUACUGCUUCCACUUGUUUCUACUGGUGUGGUGGUGGAACAGCUGUUUAUACUGCACUGACCAGGAACCCUAUCAGCUGUUGCUAACUGGGCCUGGGCCUCUCCUCCUAGUCGCUGUGGUCCUGUGGGGUCCCUCUUCAGCUGUGGGGGCAGUCACAAGGGGGCUUCAGGCUGCUGGUGCCUACUUUUGCAGACCACCUAGACGUGCUCCCUCCUUAGGGUCUGCAGCGGUGUUAUGGGCUUUCCCAGCAGCCAGGGGCAGGAUCACCUAUAUUUGCAGCUCUGUCACUGUCGGCACCCACAAAAUCUCACUUGUCCAUUGUAGGUCACAGGAGAGCUACAGGCAUCUUCUGCAGUCUGUGGUUAGCUCACCUAGCCAUGCCACUUUUGUCCCAGGGUCUUCCAGCCUUGUUCUUGUCGGGGGCGGGUGGGGCUCUCUACUAGUGCUGUGCAGAGGCUUUUGCUGAGGCUGCUGUGAGACUGUAGAGUUUCCUCCUGGGCCACGGAGCCGGGCCUCUGGAACUCCACCCAGCCCCAGUCCUCUCCCCCAGGAUCUUGGGGGUCCCCUUGACCUGUCUGGGGGACAGCUGGAGACCGUGAGUUCAGUGGCAGCUGGCUGGCUGCUGCUCUGCCUGGGAUUCUCCUCUUCAGGACCCUCCUAGCAUUCUGAAUGCUGGGCAGAGCCUCUCCACUAAUGGCGAGUAGAGGCUUUCCCUGCUGCCAGAUCCAGACCCCAGAGUUUCCCCCUGGGCCAUGGAGCCAGCCACUGGAACUUCACCCAGCCCCAGUCCUCUCCCAGGAAAUCUCCUGUAGCACCGUGCCCCGACCGGGCGACAGCUGCAGUCCGUGAGACCGGUGGCAGCAGCUGGCGGGCUGCUGCCCAGUUCCGGAUUCUCUCUGGGAGCCUCCCAGCAUUGUGUAUGCUGGGCGGGACCUCUCUGCUAAUGGCGAGUAGAGGCUUUGUCUGCUGCCAAAACGGGAUUCUGGAGUUCCCCCCUGGGCCGCGGAGCUGGCCGCUGGAACUCCCCCCAGCCCCAGUCCUCUCCCAGGAGAUGUUCAGUAGUCCCGUGCCCUGACCAGGCGACAGUGGCAGUCUGUGGGACUGGCGGCAGCAGCUGGCGGGUUGCUGCCUCAUUUGGGAUUCUCUCUGGGAGCCUCCCGGCGUUGUGUAUGCUGGGUGGGGCCUCUCCGCUAAUGGCGAGUAGAGGCUUUGUCUGCUACCAGGACGGAAGCCUGGAGUUUCCCCCUGGGCCACAGAGCUGGCCGCUGGAACUCCAACUAGCCCCAGUCCUCUCCCAGGAGAUCUCCGGUAGCGCCAUGCCCUGACCGGGUGACAGCCACAGUCCAUGAGACCGGUGGCAGCAGCUGUCGGGCUGCUGCCCCAUUUGGGAUUCUCUCGGGGAGCCUCCUGGCAUUGUGUAUGCUGGGCAGGGCCUCUCCGUUAAUGGCGAGUAGAGGUUUUCCCUGCCGCCUCUGGUGUGGGACUCUGGAGCUUCCCCCUGGGCUUAGAUGUAAUCGCGGGGGGCUUAGGUAGGGCUGUGGUCACCUGUUUCCACCAUCGCUCCUCUGAUGUGUGCACCCUCCUGCCCUUGGUGUGUGGCGAUGUUCUGGGGGCGUCUGCUGGAAGAAAGCUGCUUGCAGGUACUAGGCUGUUCGGGGUUGGGGUCGGAGAGUUUCCACUUAUCUCCACCUCCUCCCCGGGGGAAGUCUGUCCGCCUUCCGAUGUAUAGCAGCACGGGUCUCUCAGGUGUCUUGAGAUGCUGUGUGGAUAUCCUUUCUUAAGCGAUGAAUGUCCAAUUAGUUGUAGAUUCAAAGGCGGAGAGACAAAGAAGACUACUCAUGAAAAAUGUGUUUUUGAUAUCUAUAAAAGUUCCUUUUGUUAAUUGUCUUUCUGUCAUUCAAAAGACUGGAUUGAAUAAUAAAUUACUUGAUUACAAUAAUGACAGAAAAUCUGUGAAUAUAGUUUUGUAAAAGAAGGAAACCACAAAACUCCAGAAUAGUCUAUAGUGCUUCAGCAUAAGCAUUCCAUUAAAAUAAGUUCUCGCUAAAAAUGCUUUAGUCCUGGAAACACAGCAGUAACAUCCAAAGGCAAUCAGAAUACUGUGUAUCUGUUGCACUGUUUAUGCAGCUCCUCUAAAGGAAACUGUUCUCCUCCUUUAAGAAGCCCCUGAGGACCAUUUUGUUUACUUUGCUUCUACUCUUACAUCUCCUAAGAUCCAUAUUUAUACAUUUGAAAUUUUUCUGUCAGUUUUUUAAAAAAUGUUAUCUUGUAUCUCAUUAUAAAAUUUUUUAACUUUUAACUUUCUUAGAGGAUUAUGUACUAGAUUAAUUGGCAUAGAACUUCAUGUCUUCCGUUUUAUUCAAGUGUGCUUGAAAUAGAUAUCUCUACAUGUAUAUUUGAAGGAGAAAUUAAUUUUCCUUUUGGGGGUAUUUUUCAUAAACAGAGCUUAAUAAAAGCUAGGGUUCAAUUUUAAUCACAUGGAAAUUAUUUGGAAUGAAAUCUGUAAAGUAAUGCCAAAAGCCAUGCUAUAAAAGAGUGAUUUUCUCAUUUAAGAAACUGCUGUUAUCUUUCAUUUCCUAUAAGAUCAAACUCUUCGGACCUCCUUUGAAGCUGUCCUGCUGCACUUUCUACAAUUUAGUAACAUUCUGGAUAUGAUGAUUAACAAAUGCAAGAUAAAAUGUUCUACUGAAUAGCUCAUUCAGAUGAAAGAUGAAGGAGCAAUAGUGUGGAGUUCCUGACUGCUUCAGACCAUUUUCUCUGGGAAAAUGCUCCUUCCACAGUGAUUAUUGAAGGGCUGGUCUAACUUUAUACCACAUGACCUUUCCUUUGGCCACAUGUGUUUGGAUCAGUGUGGACACCUGAAUCAAGGACAGUUCAAUUUUAUGCAGGUAAGCAGGAACAGUCAGAUUCUAUUUCAGAACAUUAUAUUAAGAUACACUAUAAGUGGGUGACUAUGAAUACAACUUGAAGUAGAAUGUCGGGGCUGGGGUAAUCAUGUUUAACCAUAUGCAAGGUGAUAAACAGAAAAAAAAUUCUUGGGGCCGGCCCAGUGGCAUAGCAGUUAAAUUCAUGCGCUCCACUUUGGCAGCCUGGGGUUGGCUGGUUUGGAUCCUGAGCUCGGACCUACACACCACUUAUCAAGCCAUGCUCUGGCAGAUGUCCCAUGUAUAAAGCAGAGGAGGAUGGGCACAGAUGUUGGCUCAGGGCCAAUCUUCCCCAGCAAAAAGGGGAGGAUUGGCAGCAGAUGUUAGCUCAGGGCUGGUUUUCCUCAAAUAAAAAAGAAAGAAAAUUCUUCACAGAGAAUUAAUUGAUUGAAGAUAUUUAGGGAGUGGCUGUAGCCUAAAAGAGCUACAAAAAGAAUAGCUAUUUAAUUGUUUAUAUAUCUUAUAUACCCUAUAGAGUAAAACCUGCUGUAGAGUUAUAUGCCCUUGAUAGGGAUUUAAACAUUUUUUCUGCCUAAAUUCAUUCAUUUUCCAUAGGGACAGCACAUUAUUCAUUUCCUGGAGAACCUUUGGCUUAAGAAAUUCAUGUACAUUGUUAGAGAGAGAGAUAUUUCCAGAUAUUUUUGAUGAAAUGAUAUGAUAUACUGAACAAUAUCUUUUACUACUGCUAUACAAACUAUACUUCUAACAUACAAACAUAUCUUUUGUUGUUAGUGCUGUUGAGUUUAUUCCAACUCCUAAUGACCCUGGGUACAGCACUGUGGAACCCUGUGUGGUCUUUUUACGCCAUCCUCUCACCUUCCGGCGCUAUUUCAGGCAAUGUUCCAUUACUAUUCAUAGGGUUUUCAUAGCCAAUUUUUUUGCAAGUGGGUGGCCAGGUCCUUCUUCCUAGUCUUUCUUCCUGGGAGCUCUGCUGAAACCUGUCUGUCAUGAGUGAUCCUGCUGGUAUUUGAAAUAUCAGUGGCGUAGGUUUCAGCAUCACAGCAACACACAGCCACCACAGUAUGACAACCGAGAGUCGGGUGGUGUGGUUCCCUGACCAGGAGAGGAACCCAGGCUGCUGCAAUGAGGGCACCAAAUUUUAACCAGUAAACUGCCAAGGCUGGCCACAUGGCCACAUAUGUAUCUAUAUCGAUCUAAUUAUAAUUAUGAUAUAUAAUAUAUGUGUCUAUAUUAUAUAUACAUACGUAGUUUGGACAUUUUACUCAGUCUUUAAGCUGUAUCCACCUACUGUCUGUAGUCCCUUUUAAAAUUUCAGUGUAAUGUCUUAAGCCUUUGCAGUGCUUCUUUGAAUCUGUCACAUGUACGUGUAUGAUGUUCAUAUAUAGAAUUAGGGCAUCCUCUUCUCUGGGUAUCUACCUUGCCAAGAUUUCUCAGACUUCUUUCCCUAUUUCUUCCAGCUGAAAAGGAAACCACUAAGUUUCAUAGUUUUAAUUUGCCAUACUGUUUCAUGGCUUUGGCUUACCCUCUGAGAAAAUCCAUUAAAAAGAAAAUACAGCAAACACACUGUGCCGAUCACUGAUCCAGGUUUUGACUCACCUCAACAGUCUGCCUCUUUAUGUUUAUACUACAGAAUUCCCUGGAAGUUACCUUUUAUUAAAAAUAAAAUUUCUAAUUUUAUUCAUAAAUUUUGAGCUAUUAUUAUCCAGGACAGUCUUUUAUAAGGGAGAAGUACUGUCAUACCAGGAGCAGAAAAGGAGCAUUCGUCUUUAAAACCUUAUUUGUACAUUUAGUUUUAUGGUGCAUUUCUAGAAGUUAAAUAGUUAGAUCACUGAGCAUCUACUUUUAACAUUCUCGUCCCGAAGGAAUAUUACAUCAUUUUAAACUUUCCUCAACACUUUAUAGAAUUUCUGUUUUCCCACAUUUUCAUCAGUACUCGAUAUUAGCAAACUUCAUCAUUUUUGCCACUUUAAGAAAAGGAAACCAGUAGCGUAUCAUUGUUUUCCAUUCUGUUUUCUGAUUACAAAUGAUGUUGGUCAGCUGUUUGUAUUACUUUAUAGUAAAUUGUCUUAUCAUGUCAUUCUGUUUUUUGCAUUUUUUGUAAACCUCUGAAACAGAGAGUUUAGUUGGAAAUAUUUCUUAAUCCAUGGGAAAUUAUUAAUGUUGUGUACAAGUCCCUUCUCUUGGUUUACUUUUUAUUAUUUUUAUUUCACUAUUUUUUUUCCUCCCUGGAUCUCUGCUGUCAUCUCUUUGUUUGAUUCAUCAGGGACCCCACUCCAAUGUUUGGUAAAUGAAGUUAAGUAUAUGUAUUUUAUCAAAACAUAUAUAAUGCAGUUUUGGUUAACUAUAUAUUUAAAUUUAUGUAAGAAGUAUUGUGUUAUAGCGAAAACAUAUAUAAUGCAGUUUUGGUUAACUAUAUAUUUAAAUUUAUGUAAGAAGUAUUGUGUUAUAGCGCUCAUUGAUUUCCUAAUUUUUUGAGUCAUUGUACUUUCAAAACAGAUCAAUAAUCCUGUAGGUACCUUUAGUUUGUUGUAUCGGACUGAUGCACUGUAUUCCACUGUCACCAUAUUUUAAUGAUGAAAUACACUUGUAAUGGACACCUAACUUAUUUCACUCCCUGCUAACAGUAUGCUUAUGCAUUUCAUUUAUCUAAUUACUGGCAAAUUGUUUUCUAGAAUGACUGUUUAAUUUUAAUUUUAUAUCUUGGCAUAAUAAUAGAAUUUUACUAGUUAGUUUACUUGAUUUUUUUUCCUUUACCCAUGGCAAUGUAAGCCUCCUGAGAACAAAAUCAUUAUUUUUGUUUUGUUCAUCUUUGUUUCCAUAGAACUAACCCCAUAAAAUCAUAGGUAUAGAAAACAAUUAAUAAGUACUUGUAGAAAGAUAAAUAAAUGUAAUUUCUGGUUAUAAUGCAAGGUGAUAUUUGUUGUUUUUCUUCAAAUUUUGCUUAGGUCAUUUCCUCUAAAAGCAUGGACUUAAUGCUGGAAAUAUACUGGAAUUUUCAAGAUUGACUAAUCUUCUGAGAAUAGAUAAAAUUUAUUUUCAUCUAAAGAACCACAGUAACACCAAAUGCUGGUGUGAAUGUUGAACAACUUUCAUUGCUGGUGGGAAUGCAAUAUGGUAAAGCCAGCUUGGAAGAUAAUUUGGCAGUUUCUUACAGAACUAAUCAUAAUCUUACCAUUACAAUCCAGCCAUCAUGCUCCUUAGUAUUUACAUAAUGGAGUUGAAAAUUUAUGUCUACGUGAAAACAUGCACACAGAUAUUUAGCAGGUUUAUUCAUAAUUGCAAAAACUUGAAAGUAACCAAGCAGUCCUUCAGUAGGUGAAUGGAUAAAUAAACUGUGGUACAUCCAGACAAUGGAGUAGUCAGUGCUACUGAAAAGAAAUGAGCUAUCAAGACUUGAAAAGACUCAGAAUAUUACUGAGUGAAAGAAGCCAAUCUGAAAAGACUGCAUACUGUAUGAUUCCAAGUAUAUGGCAUUCUGGAAAAAGCAAAACUAUGAAGACAGUAAAAAGAUCAAUGGUUACCAGGAGUUGGGGAGGUAGAGAUGAAUAGGUGGAGCACAAGAGGAUUUUUAUGGCAGUGAAAAUCUCUGUAUGAUGAUAUAAUGAUAGUUACAUGUCAUUAUACAUUUGUCCAGGCCUGUAGAAUGUACACCACCAAGAGUGAUCCCUUAGGUAAACUCUGUACUUGGGGUGAUUAUGAUGCGUCAAUGUAGGUUCAUCAGUUGUAACAAAUGUACCAUCUGGUUGGGGAUGUUGAUCACGAGGGAGGCUAUGCGUGUGAUAUAUGAGAAAUCCCUGUAUUUCCCUCUCAAUUUUGCUGUGAACCUUAAACUGCUCUAAAAAAGUAAAGUCAAUAUAAAAAAACACAAAAAAGUAGCCUUCUUCAGUAAAAGAAACCUGAUUUACAAAGAAUAAAAUUUAAUGGAAUAUAAGUAUGGGAAAUUUUUCUAAAAGUAUUCGCUAUGGAGUUCCUUGAUGUGAGUUCUCCUGAUUAGCUUAAGAGAGUAUUGAAAACACACAACUUUUUCGUUUGAGUGGUUGGGAAUGAAGAAACUUAAGAAAUUGGUAGUAGCUGUUGCUGAUAGAAUAUUAGAUAGAUAAAUAGAAGAUAAAAUAUCUGUUGACGUAUAACUUAAGAAACAAAAUAAUUUUAUUUAAAAAAAAUGAUUUACUCACUAAUCACAAACAUGUCUAGAAUAGAGUGCAAGAUGUCUUUACAUUUUACAAUAUUGCCCAGACCAACUCAUUCUCUGUAUUGAUGAGCACCUGUGGAUUAUCUCGAGGAGAUGCCAUCAAUACUGCAGAUGGCUGACAUCAGUGUAGUUGAUCUGAACGAGCACAGGCGUCUGGGGUUGAAUUUUUUCACUUUCAUAGGUUUUCUUUGGAAGUUGUUCUAAAACAGACAUUUUUUCAAUAUAAAUGUAAAUUAUGAUUCUGAUUUUAUGUCUUCUAGAGAACAUAAUUUUCUCUCUUAUCUUAUAGGUUGUCAUAAUCUAGGAAAGAUCCUAAAUAAAAUCAGUUGUGGCAUAGGAAACAGGGAUACAGAAUUAUUUAGCUCACUUUUUGCUUAAUGGAAGGGUUCAUUUUGGAAAACUAAUAUUGCCUUAAGAACAAGGAUAUCGUUUCAAUAGAAGCUCUUCAUUAAUAAUAAAUAUGCAUAACAUGAAGAUAGUUGUUUUCAGGUGUGUGAAUUGAUAGACAUAUUAUUCCUGAAUUUCUAUAAUCAUCCAUUUGUCAUUCUGAUAUAUGGGUUGGGAGCAUUACGUCCCACAAAUGGUAACUGAUUUUUAAACUACUGGUUACAGAAUAUUAUUAUAAACUGCCCUCCUUCUUUAAUUGUAAAUCAUGUCAGCCUUGAAAAAAUACUCUCUUCAAAGAAAAUUUAUGGAUAUAGCAUCCUAUAAUUAAUAGAAUAAUUGAUACACAUGGAAGAAUGCAUUUAUUAAAGUUAGGAUUAAAUGAUUGGUAGUAGAACCAGCUUGACAUUGGAAGUUUAUUUUAGACUUCUAUCUAGAAGAUCUUAUCUGGAUUUUUACCUGUACAGUUUGUGUUUAAUAAUAGUUCAAGAUAUCUCUUAAUCACAUCUGUCAAAUAAUCCUGAAAAAAAGGCAGUCUUGUCAGUGACAGUCUGGCUUUAGUGACUAAGGACUUCAUUCACUAAGAGAGUCUUGAAAGUAUGAUGUGUAUUGAUGUUCAACUGCCCUAUUUUCAGUCUCAUGGAAUGUAGAAUUCCCAUGGUGUGUGUGAAUCUAAGUGUGUAUGUGUGGAUAGUCUUCAUACUGAUGCAUAUGAAUGUGCAUUCGUUUGUGUAGAUAUUCUUUCUAUAUGAUAUUACUGUUGUUGAUCACCAUCAUUGUGUUCAUAUAUUAUUUAAAUAUAAUGAUGUGUGACUGGUUGUUGUUUCUAAGCUCUCUUUCCAGAGAGGAGGAAAAUAUCAACCCACCCACCCAUUCUCGAUAUUUAAAUUGCAGUUUUGAGAACCCAGCCCUACACUCUACACACAAAAAAAUCAUCUUUUUAUAUUUGAUAGACACAUAAUAUGAGCAACCAUAUGCCAGCUUGAUAUUAAAGUCAAAAUUUUCUGAGGAAUAAUAGCAUUCCAAGGCAUUUUUGAUGUUUAGUUAGAUAACUAUGUGUAUAUAUAUAUGCAUGUAUAUGCCAAAAGUAUAUAUAUUUAUAAAACUUCUGUACAGUAUUGACUAUAUUCUGUUUUAAAAAUCUUUAGAUAUGUAUUACUCAGAAUUGAUUACAUCAUGCUGACAUAACAAAUUAAACCUCAAAUAUCAGUGACUUAACUCAUUAAAAGUUUUUCUUUUCCUCUCUCAAGACAGUUUAGUGCAAUUACUGGGGCAUCAUUCCACAGUCCUUCAGGGACCCUGCUGAAGGUGACUCCAGGUUCAUGUGUCUGAAUCAUUUGGAACAUUAGUGUAGUUGGAGGGUCUUUCACUGGUUUGGCCUGAAAGAGAUUCGUGACAUUACAUUGGUCAUAACUAGUCAUAUGGACCCAACUGACUGCCGAAUGCCUGAAAAAACUGAAAUCUUUUUCAAGAAAGAACAUGGAAUAUUUUUUUUAACUGACUGCCUCUGUCACACUAUAUCUCAACUCUUGCUUCUGUAGGACUGGAAGUCCUGGUCCUAACGAAAGGUUAAAAUUUCUCUAGACAACUCUUAAGGGUUUCAUGGAAUGGUGCCUGGGCCCUUUGGAGUUCUUAUGCCUAGAGACUUGCAGGUGAGAACAGGGGUCACAAUACUGACAAAGGCAGUUGACACUGGUUAGUAAGAGAGGUAAGGGUCUUUUUACAACGUGGAGAUAGUGAAUACAUGUGAAACUCCAGGGAUUUUGUAGGUUCCUCCUGGUACUCCCUUACCCCAACAUAACUUUGAAUGGGCACAUGCAACAACUGCAACCUGAGUUUAUGAUAAUGAAAUACCCAGAACCCCUAGGGGUAAAGGUUUUGUUUAACCACCAAGUAAGCCACCAAGACCUACCUAGGUGAUAGCUGAGGGGGAGAGGGGUUCAUAAUACUGUUAAAGAAAAAAUUAUUCUGACGCUUGUUGAAAUGGUAAGGAAAAAUUUAUUCAAGACUAUGGCAAUAGGGGAGAGAGAUCAAUCUCAACUCCAAAUACAGCAGAGAAAACUGGGGAUUUAUAGCCACUGAAUAGAUUGAGGGGGUCAGUGGAUGGAAAAUUACUAAAAGGAGAUAUCAAGGGUAGGGAGAGUCUUGCUAAAGCAACAACUGGAUUCUUUCUGAAAGUAGGUCAAUGACUUAUACAUCAAAGGUGGGGAAUGGAGAAACUUGAUCAGGUGUUGAGGUGGAUCAGCUAUCAAGGGUGCCUUUGCAGGAUUCCUGUUAAGCUAGGCUUGUCAAGGAUGGAAACAGAAGCCCUAGGUUAAGGCUUAGUCAAGAAGAGUGUUCAGAGAAGCCUAACAAAAGACUAGUCAAGGACAGGGUCUUUGUCAAUGGAUGGUGGAGUAGGGAAAGGAUGAGCACCAGUUGCAGGCCUGAAAUACACUGCAGUGAGGGGGAUGUAGUUAAUCUCACUAAUCUCUCUUCUGACGUUCCUCUUAGGAAGCAAGGCCCAUGAGAUCAAUCUUGCCCGUACCUGUGUAGAUAAUCUGUGUGGUGCAAGGGAUGGGCUCUGGUAGUGAGACAAAUUGCCACUCAGAUCUCUUAACACAUGGAGCGCAGUGUCUGAUGACCUGAGCUGCUCUGCUCUGAAAUCUAUCACUGCUUUUUUUGCUGAUUCCAAGUUUCCCAUGGGCUGCCUCACAUGAAUGACUGAGUCGAACAGGGAAACUAAGGCAAUCCCAUUUCUGGGAGAGGAAGGAUUGCUCUAAUGGGCAAUUUUGGUUUCAUAACUCCUGGUCAACCUUGCCUAACUUUCUUAGACUGCACUGCAAUCUAAGAUGUUUCCCUCUAGUCUUUCCCCCUUCCCUCUCUCCUUCACAAUGGCCAGAACUGUGUUGCAGUCUAAUGUCUGUACAGACUUCUGACAGCUUCUACCUCAUUUUUCCUCAUAAACAUUUCCCCUAGCAAACGCUUGCACAACAAAUUGCAUCCUGGCAUUAUUAGAAUGUGAAAUAGAAACAAAUGAGACUGUCUAGGUCUCUCUGUUUUGUGACCUAAUAUCUUUAUGAAAUUCUUCAAGUUGCUGGCAAAGUUUUCAAACUGCUUAUUUGGCCAGUUCUUCUAUUGUAAACCAGCAAAGGAGCCAAUAUGUGUUUACAGGCUUUCUUGGAGCAAACUCAAGAUAUCACUAUAGACAACAGAACAUAGAUAGGAAAAAAAAAAAGUAAAUUUGAGGAUUUAUAGAGUUUCUGGGAAGGAUACCAUAUUUCCACAGGUGAUAAAAUCGAUGUUUAAAGUUAGUUUUUCUUAAAUUCUCAAGUGGUAGGUAAGACCAAACUGACACUUGAGUUGACAUGGCAUAUAUUAAAUAUUACAUCAGGUAUAUCAACAGAAGUACUAUCAGACUAGAUAACUAUAUCAUGUGUCUGGAGGAAUUUGGAAAUUUCCGUGGCUUCCAAAAUUAGAAUAGGGAGUCUAAAUAGUUGUAGACAAGAAAUCAAGAGUCAAAGACUGCCAGUUAGAGCUGAAGAAGCACUGAGAGGUUAAAACCCACAAAAUUAGUAAGGGAGAGACUCCAUUCUUUUUCCCAGCUAUGAUCUAUUUCAAGUUGCAGUUUUUUUUUUAAUGAUAUUUCCUUUUCUUUUAACUUGUGCCCUUUUUAUUCACUUAAUCACAUAUUAAAAAUGAUAUUAUCUAUUUCCAAGUCUCGCAUCUACUGGAAAUUUAUUCAUGAUUAUAGUAUUAUAUUUAAAAUUAAUUCACAUGAUCAGUGCUCUGCAUUUAAAUGUCACAUAAUAUACAAAUUGAAAAUCUAAUGCCAAUUCACGUGAAAUCCAAUCCAGGUGGUUUUGUUGACCAGGAAAAAUACUGGAUACUUGAGAAAUUUGAGAAAAGGUAGAGUAAAUUUAAUAUCUAGUAGACUAUGAUAGAUUGUCAUUUUGAAAUGAUUCACAGCCAUUGUUAAUAAACUUUGUCUUGAAUUUUACUUUAUUCUAAUUUUUUUCUUGAGUAUAUGAAGCCUACUUGCAGCUUUUAAAGGUUAAACUGUUAAUGCUAGGUCAGUGUUUAUGAAACUAUAAACCCUGGGAUUGUUGGUGGUGGUUUGGAGGAGUCACAUGUAAAUAUGGUAAUAUCAAUUUCACUGUUUUUUUGUUCUGGUUUUAUUUUUUAUUUUAAAAUUAUUUGUUGAAAUAUAGUACACAUAUAGAGAAACAUAAGUACAAGGCUCAAUGGAUGCCAUUACAAAUUGAACACACCUAACUAACAGCCCCCAGACAAAGAAAUAGAAUAUUACCAGCAAUCUCAUGUCCCUUCCAGUCACUACUCUCCCCAAGGGUAAAACUAGCUGGAACAGCCCAAAAGCAUAAAUUAUUUUCAUCUGUUUUGUACUUAUAUAAAUGAAAUCAUAGAAAGAAGAAGGGGAGGAGACAGUAGCCAUAAAAAUGCUCCUAGAACUAAAAAGAGAUUCUAGCAAGAUAGAAGAAUAGAGGAUCAAUAGACAAAAAUUAACUAUUUCUGUAUACUGGCAUGAACAAUGGGAAAAUAAAAUUAAAACACAUACUUUAAAAAUAUUUUAUUUAUACAAUAAAUUUUAUUGUAUGUAAUUAUACCUCAAUAAACUUGAAAUAGAAACAAAAACUGUAAAUCCUCAGUGACUUGCCUUUGACGUCAAACAAAUUCUGUCUUUGCUAUUUACUCGAAAUUUUCAUAUUAUGUUUUCUAAAUUUCAGUUUACUUAUCUGUAUAUUGGGCCUAACAAAAAAUAUUAAGUCUGACUGUCUCAUUUAAUAUGUUAUGAUAAAUAUACAUUAGCAGUUUGUGGGCACGUCACAUGCAUUGAAUAGACAUUAACUGUCUUUUGUGUCUUAUGUAGAUACUUUACAUGGCUUUUUUGCUAAUAAUCACUGUAAUAGCUUUAAAAUUUUUUAAUUAGAAAUGCAAUUCUUUCAGUUUCCUUGGCUAUAACUAAAGGUGAUGGAUCCUAUUAUAGCUCAGUGAGGGAAGAUCGGACUACAUUAGCCUCAACUUCACCAUUUGUGAGAAGCAACCUUAGAAAAUCACAUGGCUGUUACAGGGUAUCCCAAAUUCAGCACUUCUCAAGAGUAGGAAAAUCACACAGGGCAUCGUCUCUCACUGACUUCAUUAGAUCUCUUUUUCCUGUUCUCAGGAAUAGGGGUAUCUAUAUGUCAUCAUUCUCUUCAGCUGCUUGAGUCUUCGAUUAUUAAAUUUAAGUUUAAUGCAACUAAAUUCUUUACGCUGCCAAAUCUACCCUAGUGUAACAAAAUUCAAAGGAACUUUAAGCCAUAUGUUUUUUAACCUUUUCUUAAAAGACAGUUUGAAUUAUAUCACCAUAAUACGAUAUUCGUUAAACAUGAUUUGUAAAGUUUCCUUGCAGUAUAUGUGCCUAAUCAUAGCUGAUAGUAACAGCAAGAAAAAAAAUGGCUAAUUCAUGAAUUUUGUUUUCUUAACCUUUCAUUAAUAAAGUUUAAAAUUUAGAAAUAGAUUCUACCAUAUUAUUGGCCAAGAGUCAGUAGAUGCUAUUUGCAAUUUUUGUGUAUAUUUGAAUUUCCCCCAAUUUACAUCUGACUCCCAGACAUUUGGUUUAUCCCAUACGUAAAUACAUUCAUUAAUAGUCUUUGUAAAAGACUUAUUUGUAAACUUUAUUUACGAAAAUGUCCAUGGAAACACAUAGAAUGAUUUGAAAAUUUCUCCUGCUAUGAAUAUUAAACACAGUUUUGUCAAUAAUAAUUUCACGAGUAUUUGUUAGCACAAAGAUUAAAGGAAAUCUUUUUCAUAAGAAGUUUCUAAUGUAGCAACACACACUUUAGGGAAGAUGUGAUAUUUAGAAUCCUUUGUUCCAAAUGACAUUCAAAGGUUUCCCAACUGGAGUCCUGCUUCAUAUCUUUAGGCAAAAAUAAUGUAAUCCUUUCUUUCUAAUUUAGAAAUAUAUUUGACAGUUAAUAUUCUAUAGUGUUAUAAUUAAUUUAUAGUUUGAAAAAUAUUAGAUCUUUCUGGGAAAUUUUGAGAUACUUUCCAGUUAUUAAU